rnacentral:rRNA from 1 species
GACAGAGGGUGCAAACGUUGUUCGGAAUUACUGGGCGUAAAGCGCGUGUAGGCAGCUCGGAAAGUCGGGUGUGAAAGCCCUGGGCUUAACCUAGGAAGUGCACUCGAAACUUCCGAGCUUGAGUUCUGGAGAGGAAGGCGGAAUUCUCGGUGUAGAGGUGAAAUUCGUAGAUAUUGGGAAGAACACCAGUGGCGAAGGCGGCUCACUGGCCCGCAACUGACGCUGAGGCGCGAAAGCGUGGGGAGCAAACAGG